UGUUUUAUAUUUUUGACGUGGAGGCAUCCUAUAAAAGCCUUGUUGUAAAAACCUUGACCAUUAUAGUGCAUUUGCUUCCUGGUACUGGAAGGACACUGGAUUAGGCAUUGAGGUCGAACUAGUAUAAAAACCUGCGUUUGAAUUCUCUAUCCCCACUCUUUUACAUUCAGUCGACUUUACAAUUCUUGUACUCAACUUUGAUUUUCUG
rnacentral:lncRNA from 1 species